AAGGUAGCGUGAUAAGUUGCCCUUUAAUUGGGGGCUUGAAUGAACGGACACACGAAAGUUUAGCUGUCUCUUUUAUAGCCAUGGAAAUUAAUCUUUAGGUGAAAAAACCUAAAUAGACUCAAAGGACAAAAAGACCCCAUAGAGCUUUGUCUUACUUUUUUUUUAAAAAACCUAUUUAUUAGAAUCAUUUUUAACAAAAUAAAAAUACUUAACUGGGGCGGUUGAAGAAAACUUAAACUUCUUUUAAAGUAUAAAAACACAUAACGGUUCAACAAACCUUUCUAAAAUUGAUCCUAAACACUUAUAUAUAUUUAGUAUUCUAAUGUCUAAGUUACAUGAAUUAAUUUUAAAUUAUUUCAACUUAAACCAUUCUUAUACCUAUCUAAUAUUCACAUAUAUAUAUAUAUAUAUUUGUUGAUCAAAGGAAAAGCUACCUUGGGGAUAACAGAUUUAUCCUUCUUAAGAGUCCACAUUGACAGAAGGGUUUGACACCUCGAUGUUGGCUUAGGGAAUCCAAAGGGUCAGCAGAAGCCCUUAAUGGKAGGUUUGUUCAACCUUAAAACCCCUACAUGAUCUGAGUUCA
rnacentral:rRNA from 1 species